rnacentral:lncRNA from 1 species
CAAGAGCAUACAAAAACAAACAAGGGGAGAGCUCAAAGCUUUUGGGUUCAAUGACCAUAAUCAUGUGUAAUCUUUGCUCUGUUCACCAACAUGUAUUGUAAAUUUGGAGAAGAAACAACUUCAGGUGAUUUUCACCCAUGGGUUUACUGGUUUAAAUAGAACGGAACAGAAUCCGUAACGCGUUAUUCUUUUUUUGUCCUGAGUUGUCUGUCCACACAUAUCUGAAAUCUUCCCGAGCAAUGUGACCUCUCCCUGCCAAACCGCUCCUAGAAAUUAGGCCCUGCCAAUUCAACAAGAACCAUGUAAAUGGACUGAUCUGAUUCAAUCUUUUGCGAUAUCUAAACACAAACAAUAAAGGUGCAGUGAAAAUCUAAAGUGAAACAAGGUUAUAAAUUAACAGAUACUUUGAAAAAAUGGUGAUGAACUGCACUAUAGACUAGAUUAUCACACAGCAACUCUAAUGGUUACUUUCUUAGAACUUCCAUUAAGAAAUGUAAUAUACCUGGACAUCUAUGGCCAUCAUAUGAAGAUUUAUAAAACAAUGACAUCUAAGGUUCUUGGGCAUAGUACUAAAGAAAUUAUAGAUCAUCAAAUAUUGUUUUCUUGGCAAGAUAAUACCACCUGAGAACUGUAGCGAACUGUGUAAGAUAGCAAUAGACCAAGUCUCACUAUUCACAUUGUGAACUAAUUUGCGGAAGCAGCAGUAAAGCCAAGCGAAGUACAACAAUUAAUAAACGCAGCCUUUGAAAGAACAUAACCAGAUUGCAAUAAACGAAACAUGGAUUUUGAUCAUACAUGGCAGGCAUACAAUGUCAAGAAAACUUGCAAAGAUUCUAACAUUAUAUGAAAAGAAUUAAUUGAUCAUAUAUAACACCGGUGUGUCCUGACCAUGACCAUAUUCGAGUCACAUAGGCAACAAAACACUUGGCAAGUCUGCAACUACAUUGAAGAAACAGCAUGUGCACUGUUGGAAAUGAUCAAACGCUCAGAAAGCUACAGGCUUUUGACCUUGAGUAAAUUUGAUUUCAAAACAGCAUUAAAGGCAGGUAGCUAACCAAGCAUGUAUCCGUUUUAUGACUAACUAAACAAUCAUCCCAAACAUAUGAGCCUUGUUCUAUCUCUCGCUAAACUCAUCCUCUAUACAUGACCCAAAACUUUAAUCAGACAUUCUACAGAAUCCAAGUAACAUUACAAAGUACGGUCAACAACAUUCAAUGGGGAGGUCAUAAAAAAACCAACCUUGAGGAACCAAUGUUGAUGUUCCUGUGAAGAACCCUACCACGAUCACCAUCUCCACCAUCAAUCAACUCUCUCAAACCACCCAAACUCUCCACCUCCUCCUCCUCCUCUUUCACCUCCUUCUUCUCCUUACCUCCACCGCGACUCGGCAGCAACUUCACAGGCAACCUCUCGAAGUAAUUCCCGUAGAUAUACUCAGGAGUGUACCCAUUCUCCUCAUCGAAAAGCAUGAUAUGCCCGUGCCACUCCCACACACGAUAAUCCGACUCCUCAUCCUCGUGAAACCCAACGCAGAUGUGGUGCUCGUUGACCGUCACGGCCUGCCCCGAAUUGGGCUUCAGGGAAUCGAUUCGACCCGAGACGAUGACGCGGAUUAGCUCAUUCUCGAGCUUGGCUUCUUCUCGUUCGAGAUUGUUUUGGGAAUCGAGGUCUUCUUCGUCAUCGGUGUCGUCGGAUUUGAAGAGGAGGUCGUCUAGGGAUUGGGAGAGGAAAGCGGAGCUUGGGGGACGGAUUUGGAGGCGGCCGAGUAGGGUUUGGAGUAGUAGGUUGUUGUUGUUGUUUCCGUUGAAGGAGCUCAUGGUUGGUGCGUGUGGUGGCGAAUCGAUCUUCUUCUUCUUCGACUACUUUUUCGUCGUGGUUAUCGUAGGGAGAGGCCACUCGGGUUUUAGAGAUAGGAAAGGGUUUUUGUUCAACGAAGACUGCAAUUACGAAAAAUAUCAGUUUUAGUCUUUUAUUAGAUAUAAACGCCGUCAGACAGUAAUUUCAGAAAAAAAAUGUAAGGCUAAAAUGAUAUAUGUUGUUGACUUGUAGGCCGAAAUUUAUUUUUUUUUUAAUUUUUCAAAAGAUUAAAUAACCUAUAAAAUUACAUUAAAAUGUUAAAUAAUUAGUUUAUAAUUUUUUAUAAAAUAAUAUUAAAAUUAAAAUAAAAUAAGUAAUAUAUUUUUAUUUGUAUUAAUCGAUACAAAAUACUAAAUAAUUAAAUAAUAAAACUGAUUCAUUUUAAUUUGAAAUUGAAAAUACAAUAUUAACUGCAAUAAAUUAUAAUUCCUCACCAGCAAAUGUGAAUUAGAGGAAACAAAUACUUUUUUAAGUGUUAUUUAUGAUGAAUUAUGAUAUCAGGGAUAGUGUAUACUGUAUUUGCAAACUUUGAAGCAUAUAGAAAUAGAGUAUUUUGGUUGAAUUGGAACUAUCUUAAUUUAGAACAGAAGAAACUUAUUAAUUUUGUCUCGCUAAUUAGUUUAUUCGAUAAUUAGUUCACUAAGUUUCUAUGUAGAAAUUGGAGUAUUAUGUUAGUAAGAAGCAUAUUGAAGUAAAGUAUUUUUUUUGUCAUUUACGUAAAAUUCAGAAUCAUAUAGAAGCCAAAAAACAAUAAUCUACUAUGGAUUUAAGAAACGAAACACUUUCAACAAUUUAUCAAUAUGGGAAAAAUUACUCAAGAAUAAAAAUGAAGAACAAACAAAAUGGGUACAAUACCAACUUUCUUAGUUUCUUUGACAAUUUUUUCGGCAUCAUCUACCGGAUUCAACAAAAGGACAUACACAAAUACAUUCUUUUGAGAACCCUUAACAUAUAUAUAUAUGUAAGUAUUUAUACUUUUGUAUAUCACAUCUUUGAUGAAACUGUUCAUGAUCCCCAUCGCUUUACCCGAGAUUCCGAUAUCGGGAUGAACCUGCUUCAGGACCUUGAAGAUGUAGAUCUUGUACGUCUCCACGCUCUUCUUCGAUUUCUUCUUCUUCUUGUCGCUUCCUCCUUCCUUCGAGAUCUUCUUCUCCGCCUUUGGACGCUUCUCCGCCGGUGAUUUCUCGGCUGGCUUCUUCUCCGCCGGUUUCUUCUCUGCCGCCUUGGGUGCCAUUAUCGAUUGAUUGAGUUUGGUGAAGAGAGGGUAAAUUGUUUAAUGGAAAGAUGCGUCUGUGAUUGAAAUUAUUCGAGGAGCAGAUUUUCUUAUAUAGAAGCGUGUGCUCGCUCUUAUUGGUUAUCUGUGCGGCACGCGGAUUGCUGACGUGGCCUAGAUCUGAAGACUUUGAAUGAACGGACAAGAUCUCUCAUAGCUCUAUACUUCUUUCUUUAGUCAAGCUCAUGGGCUCUUCUAACAUCUUGAUGGGCUUCUGUUUUAUGACGACCCACGAACUUGCCCGGUCCAUUACUAAUGUGGUAACAUCUUCGAAUUAUACGUUUCGACACUAAUUACAUUUUAUUUGAGUGUCUUACCAUCUUCUCAUAUACCUUGUCAGAUUCGCAUUAUCGUCCUUGUAGCGGAAACUGAAAUUACAGUUCAGCGGCAGCAGUAUUGGAAAAUGAGUGAUUCAUCAAGACAAGAGCAUACAAAAACAAACAAGGGGAGAGCUCAAAGCUUUUGGGUUCAAUGACCAUAAUCAUGUGUAAUCUUUGCUCUGUUCACCAACAUGUAUUGUAAAUUUGGAGAAGAAACAACUUCAGGUGAUUUUCACCCAUGGGUUUACUGGUUUAAAUAGAACGGAACAGAAUCCGUAACGCGUUAUUCUUUUUUUGUCCUGAGUUGUCUGUCCACACAUAUCUGAAAUCUUCCCGAGCAAUGUGACCU